UUUGUGGGCUUACAAUUUUAAAAAAAUUUGUCACCUACGUGGCCCGUAUGACCCAUCUCUCCCGAGCCUCUCUUCAUACCGUAUUGGUGGCAGCCCAUUACCCAUCUCUUGAUACGGUUCGGGUUACAUCGCUGUCCUCUCUGAAAUAUCAAAAUCACUAACCCUAAUCACCGUUCUCGAUCUCUUUGUCGAUUCUCUUUCUCUCCCCCAAAUUUUGAUUUUCUUUAGCGGCCAAGGUACUUCAAUGUGCUCUCAUAAAGCCUUCAAUGUUUUCUUCAACCAUGCUGUUGCCUGUUGGUGAUGUUUUCAAUUUAAUAUGCGGAGAGGAUGAGAUCGACUUGGGGAGAGGAGGUUAUUGUUUGGAAUUGAAACCCGAAAAUGGAUUUCACAAUCGUAAGCUCUCACUUCUUUGGGCUCGCUUCGUCUUCUUAAAGAGGCUUUAUCGGCUGCGUUGAGGCUGUAUCGUCCGGUGCCGGAGUUCUUCAACCCCGGCUUGAAGGGCGACAAGAUACGACAUGGGACUUUUGUUCCGCAGUGAUGUUUUUGAUUUACUUGGCUGGGAGGAUGAGAUCGACUCUGGGAGAUUUUGUUUCGAGUUCAAACCGGAGAGAUUGACUUUGAAAUCGUACGCUCUUAGUAUACAUAAUUAUGGGCCAAUACACACAGAUUACGAUUCAACAGCAACUAAAGUUGUUACUUGGCUUUCUAUUUCAUGAAGCACAGAACGUAGUAUAUAAAAGGAAACAGGAAUUCACUUUGCAAAUAUUCUCUGUGUCUUUGGAUUAAUCUAUAAUCUUGUGAUGUAGAUAGAUACAAAAGCUUCUUACGGAUCUCCAUGGAGAAGAGAAUUCAUGAAGGUAACCUGAAACAACUCUCUAUCUCUUGCAAGUGGAUGCCACACUAAUGUCAUAGUUUGGUAAAAUUCCAGAUUAAGUUUUGGUGAAUGACGUUGUGUUUUGUACCGAAGAUAAGAACUCAUGUUCGUUAUGGGAAGCAGUUAUCACAAUACAACCUUACUUAUCGAAUUUUCAUCAAGUAAUAUUACAUGAUUUAUAAUUAGUUGUGUAUUUUAUGACUUUUUAUAAGUGUGGUUGACGAUAAAAAUGACAAGCUAUCACAAAAGAUACCUCAAGUUCAGGGCUUACUCGGAAGCUUCCAGUUACCAACAAGUAUGUGAAGCCAAUAUGUAUAGGAUUUGGAGAGGCGGAGGACCACGACCUUGAAAAUCUGAAGAAACAGCUCGAAGAUGAUGAUCUCAUCAGAGGUACAAUAACUGCGGAACAUCAAGGCAGUGAAGAGUCUGGCGUUAAUUAGCUGAUACAAAAGACAACCGCGCAUACAGCUGAGAGGGUCACGUGGUCUAAGUCUUGAAUUAACGUUUGAGUUGUUCCGUUCAGUGACAAAGGCUUCUGUCCAUUCCAAGUCAAGCAGGUACACAUAUGAAUCCGGCUCCUGUGUUUAGAAUCAAGAAACAAAGUUCCUUCGCGUCAAAGGCUUGUGUGCGAGUCUCUUCAGUGCUCUCUUUGGCUUUCUUAUGUUCGAUUCACACAAGUAUUGGUCUUCCACAACAAAGACUCAUCCACAUUAUUACAUGUUCUGCUAUAAACCUUUUCUUUUACCUCUAGGCUCAUUGUCAAUACCAAAAUACAGCUGCGUUUUGACCUUGAUUAGGUGUGAUUGUGACUCUCUUUCACUUCCUCGAUGCACAUGGCUACACUUUUCUUUGCGGUGGUUGAGAUGUCGAUAGACAUAAUCACUCUUGGGAAAAUCAAGGGACUGCUCAGCAUGGGUCGCCUCUUCUGCUUGAAAUAUUGGAGACCAAUGAGUUAGAGUUUAGAGACAUCAAUUGGUAGAUUCAUACAAUAUAAGCUUAGAGUUUUGUUUCUUCUUUGUUUUUCCGGUUGAUUGGUUUUAAGAAAUGGAAUCCUUUCUCUCAAAAGAUUAUAAGCAUAUUGUAGUGUCAGAUGGCUUGAUGAUUCUUCGAUUUUGAAACCAGAAAUCUAUAUUCCUGCCAAAA